AAAUUAGAUAGAGGUGCGGUUAUUAAGAGUAAGUACACCAAGCAAUCCAGCGAUGAAGUGUGCCGAAAGGAAUAAUCGCCGAAGUAAAAGGCUGUGGCAUAAGGACUUUUACUGGUUAUGUAUUUAAUAGGUACAUAACUGUCACCUAGUCAUUGGGUGGAGCACUAUCACUUAA
rnacentral:ncRNA from 2 species